UACGAAGGGCGCGAGCGUUAAUCGGAAUUACUGGGCGUAAAGCGCGCGUAGGUGGUUGAGUAAGCGAUCUGUGAAAGCCCCGGGCUUAACCUGGGAACUGCAGGUCGAACUGCUCGGCUAGAGUAUGGUAGAGGGGUGUGGAAUUUCCUGUGUAGCGGUGAAAUGCGUAGAUAUAGGAAGGAACAUCAGUGGCGAAGGCGACACCCUGGACCGAUACUGACACUGAGGCGCGAAAGCGUGGGUAGCGAACAGGAUUAGAUACCCUGGUAGUCCACGCCGUAAACGAUGUCUGCUAGCCGUUGGGGGGCUUGUCCCUUCAGUGGCGGAGUUAACGCGGUAAGCAGGCCGCCUGGGGAGUACGAUCGCAAGGUUGAA
rnacentral:rRNA from 1 species